rnacentral:rRNA from 1 species
CUACGGGUUGCUCCAGUGAGGAAUAUUGCACAAUGGGGGGAACCCUGAUGCAGCAACGCCGCGUGGAGGAUGACGCAUUUCGGUGUGUAAACUCCUUUUAUAUGUCAAGAAAAUGACGGUAGCAUAUGAAUAAGCACCGGCUAACUCCGUGCCAGCAGCCGCGGUAAUACGGAGGGUGCAAGCGUUACUCGGAAUCACUGGGCGUAAAGGACGCGUAGGCGGGUUGGAAAGUCAGGUGUGAAAUCCUACAGCUUAACUGUAGAACUGCACUUGAAACUUCUAAUCUAGAGUAUGGGAGGGGGAGAUGGAAUUAGUGGUGUAGGGGUAAAAUCCGUAGAUAUCACUAGGAAUACCUAAAGCGAAGGCGAUCUCCUGGAACAUUAUUGACGCUGAGACGCGAAAGCGUGGGGAGCAAACAGGAUUAGAUACCCUCGUAGUC